UAUCGGUUGAACAUGUUAAAAUUCAAUAACAAUUCAGAACUUUAGGGAUUGUGAUAUUUCUAAAUUAUUGGUAAUAGUUUCGAAAAGUUCAUUUGCUUAAGUUUAUAAAAUUAAGUUUAGUGCUUUUGCACAAAAAUUCUUUUUAAUAAACCUCCGUCUUUGGAGUCAUCACUCCAAUCGCUUUGUAUCUGCAGACCAUCUUUAUCAUUUUCCACUGCCGAUGUCAAACAAUCAGACCGUCCUCCAGACCAAUCAAUAAUCCCAAAAGCUCCAUUUGAGUGGCAUAAACAAAAUUGCCCACAGAUCCGAAGAAGCCAGCAUGUCAAGUAGCAGCGAUGAUGCUUAGGUGCUGGAAAAUGGCAGACAGCAAGUGAAACUGCACACGAAACUGGGAACUGGGAUCUGGAAACUGGCAAUACGCAAAUGGUGAAACUGUCCAUUAACAGAAAAGAAAUAAAAGUUAAACAAGAACAACAGGGAAACAAUAAGGUGGACGGGCUGCAGAAAAAAAGUUGAAAUCCUUUAUUGUCCAUUGUCGGCCAUGGAGUUCUCUAUCAGAAUGCCUUAAUUAAGAACGCUCGGAGUGUGGCCAAAGAGUCAGACUUCAUUUCGAUUUUUAACAGCGCAGCUGUUACCAAAAACCCAACGAUUCCAUUCGCCUGAAAAACUCAACCCAACCAACCAGCCCCACUUCGUCCUGUCAGGGAAAAAAUGGAAACCAACAAUUUGCAGUUUACAUUUAACAGCAGAUCGAGGGGCGGUGGGGCAUGGGACACGUUAUUGGAAAAGCAGUGAAAAUUGGUUUGUUUGACGGCCCGAUGUCUGGCGGAAUAACAUAGCCCCGCACCUAUACACAUACACACUCAAGCUCACACACAGCGAACGUAUAUUAUAUAUCGCAUAUAGUUACCGUCAUUGUCGAAAACUCUCGGAUAGCAGAAGAAAUUACAUCGAUAGCGGAAAAACUUUACGAUCAAGAAAAAAUAAAAAUAAAAUGAUGAGCGCCCAACCACCGAUAGCUAGUCAAUCAGGACCCUUAUAUUGAGUUGCAUUUUUUGUGUCUCUUCAUAAAUUAACCGUGCUAGAGGAUUCCAAUCAUGUCGCUGCCACUGAAAGUAUUAACAAAAAAUAU